rnacentral:rRNA from 1 species
CGGAACGGGUGAGUAACGCGUGAGGAACCUGCCUCAAAGAGGGGGACAACAGUUGGAAACGACUGCUAAUACCGCAUAAGCCCACGGCUCGGCAUCGAGCAGAGGGAAAAGGAGUGAUCCGCUUUGAGAUGGCCUCGCGUCCGAUUAGCUAGUUGGUGAGGUAACGGCCCACCAAGGCGACGAUCGGUAGCCGGACUGAGAGGUUGAACGGCCACAUUGGGACUGAGACACGGCCCAG